CUGAUCCCAUGCCAGUGACAACUGCUGUGUUAGCCCCAUAGAGACUGAACCAGCGCUCCCGAGCUGCUAGCAGUGAGUGUUCAUGCUACAGCCUCCAUAGCCCGAUGGAGUAACAGGAAAGGAACAAGAGGUAACCAUAGCAGACUGAUAAGCAAUGGAGGCCCACAGCAUUGUGCCUUUGUUGUUCGUGUGUUCCUUUGUACAUUCAUGCACCAUGCGUAAGAAAGCUUCCCUGCCACACCAAGUACCAUGCAAAGAACUUCAGAGAAGUUCUGGUGUGUAUGGUCUUUUUUUUUUUUUUUAAUUUUAUUAUUAUUAUUUUUUAACAUGAUAUUCACAAACAUGGAGGACUUAAGACACUGAGGGAAAGAGAGAAACUCUGAUGGACUGAAGUACAAUUGAACAUGAUGGAAGGAGAAGUGGAGAUGAGAUGGUCAACUGAAGGAAUGGAGAGAGGUCAGAGAAAGAUCGUCAAGCACUUCUCAGGUUCCAGUAUCCAAAGCCUCAUUUUGUACACUGGGAAGAAGAGGGGAUAUGCAAGUCACACAGAGAAAUGGCAGCCAAUGAUGGAACCAGUCUCAUCUCCUGAUCUGUUCCAACAUCACUGGCCUGGACUUCAGACAUCAGAAAGAUUUUUCUGCCUAUGCAGCAGUUAAUGUUUCAGACUUUAUUCAUAGAAUCAUUAAGGUUGGAAAAGACCUCCAAGAUCAUCUGGUCCAACUGACCCCCUACUACUAAUGUCAUCCACUAAACCAUAUCCCUAAACACCAUGUCCAGCCUUCCCUUCAACAUCCCCAGGGACGGUGACUCCACCACCAUCCUGGGCAACCUGUUCCAAUGCCUGACUGCUCUUUCUGAGAAGAAAUGGCUCCUAUUUUUUCAUUGUUUUGGUUCAGUUUGUAUUUCUUUUCAUUUAUGUUACAGCCAUUUCCCUGUGCUCUCCAUACAUUGCUGGAGAUGACCAUGUCUAUCUGCCUCUUUUGAGAACGAGUUCCUCCAAGCAGUUGCUUGUGCGACUUGCGUAGCCAGGGGAGGUGAGGCAGGAAACUAAAAAAUGGGAGGCAAAAUGGGAAUUCUGUGGGACUGUAGGAGAGGGGAAGCCUCUUUUCAGUCAGCACAUUGGCUGAAACCUUGCAUGCAGGGAGGACAAGCAGAUAUUUUCCUCCUUGCUCUGAGAGCCCUUCUAAUGUUAACUGGGCAGUACAGAAAAUUCAGCUGUUCUCCAUUCCUGCAGGUUAGCACGGAUAAUAAAGGCGCUUCAGUCUUUGCUUUCA
rnacentral:lncRNA from 1 species